rnacentral:lncRNA from 1 species
UCCAACAUGCAACAGGCUAUGAUUUUCUCUCACAGUGUCUUCUUGCCUCACAACCCACACAGCCCUCCACACCCACUGGCACGGGGAAUAGAUAGGAGAACAAGCAAACAGAGAUUCACAGCCAUCACUGUUACCAAGAUUUGCCUGUCUGUGCCUUGCAGAUGUUAUUUGGGGGUCCUACACCCCUCAGAGUAAUCAGCAGUGUUUGUUGGCCCCUCUUCCUGCAGAAAAGUCAACAAGUGUAAUUCAUCUUAAGAAAUGUAGGGUCCCUUUCACCACACUUUUGCAGAGGUGAGCUAUCAAGUACCAUCCUGGAGUUAAUACUCAAGCAAUCACUACAAUUCCAAUUAGUCAAAUUCCCAUGUGUUGUGGGAGGGACCUGGUGGGAGAUAAUUGAAUCAUGGGGACCAUUACCUUUUUGUAUAGUUGGUGUUUCACUGUCUGCAAUCAGUUGCAAGCAGUCUUGAGUGACUAAAAAGCAAAAAUUUAUCAUUUUAGUUA